rnacentral:tRNA from 1 species
GCCGGUGUGGUGGAACUGGCAGACGCGCCGGACUCAAAAUCCGGUGAGGGCGACCUCGUGGGGGUUCGACUCCCCCCACCGGCA